rnacentral:rRNA from 1 species
UAAUACGAAGGGGGCUAGCGUUGUUCGGAAUCACUGGGCGUAAAGCGCACGUAGGCGGAUCUUUAAGUCAGAGGUGAAAUCCCAAGGCUCAACCUUGGAACUGCCUUUGAUACUGGGGAUCUUGAGUCCGGGAGAGGUGAGUGGAACUGCGAGUGUAGAGGUGAAAUUCGUAGAUAUUCGCAAGAACACCAGUGGCGAAGGCGGCUCACUGGCCCGGAACUGACGCUGAGGUGCGAAAGCGUGGGGAGCAAACAGG